rnacentral:misc_RNA from 1 species
AAGUCGUAACAAGGUUUCCGUAGGUGAACCUGCGGAAGGAUCAUUAGCGAGUUGAUGCCCUAAUGGGUAGAUCUCCCACCCUUGAAUAACAUACCUUUGUUGCUUUGGCGGUUGCGUCUUCGCGACGCCCGCCAGAGAACCCCAAACUCUGAAUUACAGUGUCGUCUGAGUACUAUAUAAUAGUUAAAACUUUCAACAACGGAUCUCUUGGUUCUG